ACACUCUGAACGCCAUCACCACAACCAUGUAGCUGUUGGCGAAGGUUGAGAAGGAAGUUGGAUCAGUCCCCAUGUAUAGUUAUAUUACCUUCUUUUUGAUCCUCACCCAGAACUCACCUGAACGUUUUUGUUAACAGAGUUUCAGGUUUUUAUAUGGAUUUGAUGAAGAGGGCUUUAACCUUUCGUUUUUCAUAUUUAUUGGUUACUCAAACAUCAUUUAAAGGUACUUCCCUAUUUUUGAAUUUAUAAUUGUAAGUUUAAUUUGGAAUUUUGCAAAAUCAUUUGAAGGUACUUCUCCUGUUCUUAAAUUUUAAAAUAUAUGGAUAUGAUGAAGAGUACUCAUGUGAAUUCCCUUUGAAGGUGUUGCCCCUAUUCUUGAAGCUUUAAGUGUUAUUCAUUGAGUUAAAGAGGUUGGGAUACUGGUGCUUUAGUGUUAUUCAUGGGUCGUUUAAUAAAAACUUUGUGUUUAAUUGGCGUUUAUAUAUUGCUAUUCUUAGUAGCUUUGUUCUUGGUUUAUGAAUGAAGCCAUAGUAAAAGCAUCCAUGUCGAUGUGUAUGAACAAAAGCAUAAAAGAAAGACGUAUUGGUGUAUUUUACUAUGAAUUCAACAUUGAAAAUGAACUAUAAAAAUGAGAUAUGAUUUCAAAUAA